UUAUAUGAUGAUUUCACAAAAACAAAAGCUGGAAUUACUGGCUGAAUCUUAGAUGUUGAUACGUUUUUGCACUAUUUCUGAUU
rnacentral:snoRNA from 1 species